CAGUAGCCGCGGUAAUACGAAGGGUGCAAGCGUUAAUCGGAAUUACUGGGCGUAAAGCGUGCGUAGGCGGUUUGUUAAGUCUGCUGUGAAAUCCCCGGGCUCAACCUGGGAAUGGCAGUGGAUACUGGCAAGCUAGAGUGUGUCAGAGGAUGGUGGAAUUCCCGGUGUAGCGGUGAAAUGCGUAGAGAUCGGGAGGAACAUCAGUGGCGAAGGCGGCCAUCUGGGACAACACUGACGCUGAGGCACGAAAGCGUGGGGAGCAAACAGGAUUAGAGACCCCCGUAGUCCCUGUCUCUUAUAA
rnacentral:rRNA from 1 species